rnacentral:rRNA from 1 species
UGACCCUACGGGGGGCAGCAGUGGGGAAUAUUGGGCAAUGGGCGCAAGCCUGACCCAGCAACGCCGCGUGAAGGAAGAAGGCUUUCGGGUUGUAAACUUCUUUUCUCAGGGACGAAUAGAUGACGGUACCUGAGGAAUAAGCCACGGCUAACUACGUGCCAGCAGCCGCGGUAAUACGUAGGUGGCAAGCGUUAUCCGGAUUUACUGGGUGUAAAGGGCGUGUAGGCGGGGACGCAAGUCAGAUGUGAAAACCACGGGCU